ACCCUGAGUGGGGAGGACACCCUGCUGAGUGGUCUGCUCCCCAACUCUCCCAAGAGGUUCUCUCACCUGGAGACCUGAGGGCCCCUAGGAGUCUGGAAAUGUGAGGGCAGGUGGGUAGGGAAGAGGCUGUGGUCAGCCUGAGGGCUGAGGCCUUUUUGAAGAGCCUCUUUUCACCCUGGGUGGAGCCCUCCCAGCCUCACUGUACAUUCUCUGUACACACAGUCCUCAGGGAGACAGGCUGUCCCACACAGGUCUUGGGGACACCCAGUUCGGGCCCUCCACCUAAGAAAGCACCAAACCCUGCUGUGGUCUGGGGGCGAUGGAAGCACGGACCAGCCUGGAGCAGAGGCCACUCACGGCCCCUCGUGUUGGGCUGCACAACAGCUUACAGAGCUGCCACCUUGAUCCUUCCUCACAGCAGCCCUGGGGGUGAGCAGCCGAUGGUUUCUUCUUUUGCUUUUUGGGCAUUUCAGAAAUCUUUAUUCAUAGCCCCUAAACUGCAAGAGUCAUAAGGUUUUUUUGAAAAGUACUGAAUGCAUAAUUAUUUAUAUCGUGAACACUACUAUUCUACCAAAUUUGAGAUUGUAUUCAACAGUCUCCAUUUCCUAAUGGUGAGUUUUACCUCCUUCCUCGUUUAUAAGGUACAGUGCUCUGGCUGGGGGGACAGGAGUCUGUUCUGUGUGUAGACUCUGCCCUUGAGUAUUUGGGUAACAUAAAGAUUUGCCUGACAUCAGCCUCAACAUGAAGACAACUGUCUUUCAAUUCAAAGUCAAUGCAAAAUGAUCACCACAAUGAGUCUAGUUAACAUGGGCCACCAUGUAUGGUUACAAAUUUUUUUCUUGCAGUGAGGUCCCUUAAGAUCUAUUCUCUUAGCUUUCAAAUAUGCAAUACCGUAUUACUAACUAUAGUUACCUUGCUGUACAUCACAUCCCCAGGACUUACGUAUUUUAUAACUGCAAGUUGGCAUCUUUGACCCAUUCACCAUUUCACCCACACCUCAGGCAACCACCAGUCUGCUCUAUAAGCUUGGGUUUUUUUGUUUGUUUGUUUGUUAGAUUCCACAUAUAAGUGAGAUCACACAGAUGUUUUGAUUCCCAUUUUACAGAUGAGGAGACAGGGGCCCAAGAGGGAAGGGCCCACAUCCCUCACUGUAAAGUCACGUAAAGAGUAAGACUCAUCUCUCUCCCCAGUGGGCAGGGUCCCUGCCCAUCCCGGAUGAGCUGGGUGGCGAAGGAGCACAGCUCGUCUGACUGUAGCUCAGCCUGCCUGCCUGGCAUGCCAAGUCCAGGUGAUCUGGAGGGAGGCGGGGCCCAGCACCCUCCUCCAGCCAGGCCCUGACUGCUGGGACAGACUCAGCCUCACACCUGCCAGAACCCCGGGGGCCUGCGCCUGGGAAAGGGGCCAGUCAGCCUCGAGGGAGGGACUUUCCCUCUGCCAACCCCCGUGAGCCCGGGUUUUCCCUGUUUCCUUGUCCCAUUGCUCUGUUUACCUGCAGGUCUGACUAGAACAGGGGAAGCUGGUACAACAGUCUGAGCUGGGGAUGUGCAAGUGGAACUUGGCGGGACUCUGCCGCACACCAACAUUCAUUCUGUGUGCCUAGCAGGGGCCUUGAAGAGUGUCCUGGUGAAAACCCCAAUGAGACAGGUCGCCCCAUCUCUCGUCUCUUCUUUCUGCCCCUGUUUCCUGUGUGUCUCUCUCUCCACAUAUAUAGAGAUAGAGAUAGAGAUAUAAGGUGUAUAUAUACAUAUAUGUUGAUAUACAUGUAUAUCAUACACAUACACAUACAUACACAUAUGUAUAUUUUGACUUUCUCUGUCUCUGUCUCUCUACCAUUUGCUAUCUUUGCCCAGAAUGGUCCUUGAACCACUGGGUGGGGGUUAGGUUUUCAAACACCCACCCUGCCACAGUUCUCAUCCCACUAGGGAGUCCAUGAGCGCUCAGUUUGGGAUUAAGAGUCUCCUUAUCUUCUCCUUUGGCCAAACUCACGUCGUUUGUGCUGCAGUUGAGGCAUUUGCUUUGAUGUCCUAAGGGCAUAAUGGUAAGACAGCGGUCAGAUCCUGACCAAGCUGCCCGGUGACAAAAUGUGGUGCUUUCUGGCACUGGGUCAUGCCACGGGAGUGGAGAGGAGCGGACAGGCAGCUCAGGGAGUGUGGCAAGAAGCUGUCAUGGCCAAUGUGGACCCCAGCCAAGUGCUGUGUAUGAGUAUAUUUAUAGACACAUGGAGCGACACACCCGCCUGGGAAGGUACUGUUUGUUUCCUGGGAGCGUGUUCCUGUUCUCAUGGUCUUACAGAUUUCCCAGGUAGCAUCGUGUGGCAACAGGGAAAACCAUAGCCUCUUCUACCUGGCAUUCACCCGCCGCAUAAAGAGAGACCUUUGGAGAAGGACCUGAUUGCCUCUCCCCGCUGGGAGACCGGCAGUCACCUCCCCUUGCCCUCAGGAUCAAGAACUGUCUCUUCCUCAUCUUUGCAUCCCAACAUCCAGUCUAGCGCCUGAUGCAGCGGAAAUGUAUACCGGUGAGUUGGUGACGCCGGGGAGAUGCGCACUGGCGAGUCGGUGAAUGAGCAGAUGAGAUGUUCCCAGUGCAGCUGCUAAGAGCCAAGGGGCUGCUUUUCAGGAAGAUUGGAUUUGAAUACACCUCUACUGCUUGCUAGCCAUGAGAUUUUCAUUACUAAGCCCCAAGUGGCAGUUUCUGAAUCUGUAAAGUGGCACAUACAAUAGAGCUGCACUUACAUGA